rnacentral:tRNA from 1 species
CGCGGAGUAGAGCAGUUGGUAGCUCGUCAGGCUCAUAACCUGGAGGCCGGUGGUUCGAGUCCAUCCUCCGCAA